UUAUUUCUCAGACGUCUGGAGACUUA
rnacentral:piRNA from 1 species